rnacentral:rRNA from 1 species
CAGUAGCCGCGGUAAUACGAAGGGUGCAAGCGUUAAUCGGAAUUACUGGGCGUAAAGCGUGCGUAGGCGGUGAGUUAAGUCUGCUGUGAAAUCCCCGGGCUCAACCUGGGAAUGGCAGUGGAUACUGGCUCGCUAGAGUGUGUCAGAGGAUGGUGGAAUUCCCGGUGUAGCGGUGAAAUGCGUAGAGAUCGGGAGGAACAUCAGUGGCGAAGGCGGCCAUCUGGGACAACACUGACGCUCAUGCACGAAAGCGUGAGGAGCAAACAGGAUUAGAUACCCCUGUAGUCCCUGUCUCUUAUAC